UACGUAGGGGGCAAGCGUUGUCCGGAUUUAUUGGGCGUAAAGAGCGUGUAGGCGGUCAGGUAGGUCCGUUGUGAAAACUCGAGGCUCAACCUCGAGACGCCGAUGGAAACCAUCUGACUAGAGUCCGGAAGAGGAGAGUGGAAUUCCUGGUGUAGCGGUGAAAUGCGCAGAUAUCAGGAAGAACACCCGUGGCUAAGGCGGCUCUCUAGUACGGUACUGACGCUGAGGUGCGAAAGCGUGGGGAGCAAACAGG
rnacentral:rRNA from 1 species